rnacentral:rRNA from 1 species
UGGGGAAUAUUGCACAAUGGGCGAAAGCCUGAUGCAGCAACACCGCGUGAGUGAUGAAGGUCUUCGGAUUGUAAAGCUCUGUCUUUUGGGACGAUAAUGACGGUACCAAAGGAGGAAGCCACGGCUAACUACGUGCCAGCAGCCGCGGUAAUACGUAGGUGGCGAGCGUUGUCCGGAUUUACUGGGCGUAAAGGGUGCGUAGGCGGAUGUUUAAGUGAGAUGUGAAAUACCCGGGCUUAACUUGGGUGCUGCAUUUCAAACUGGAUAUCUAGAGUGCAGGAGAGGAGAAUGGAAUUCCUAGUGUAGCGGUGAAAUGCGUAGAGAUUAGGAAGAACACCAGUGGCGAAGGCGAUUCUCUGGACUGUAACUGACGCUGAGGCACGAAAGCGUGGGUAGCAAACAGGAUUAGAUACCCUGGUAGUCCACGCCGUAAACGAUGAGUACUAGGUGUAGGAGGUAUCGACCCCUUCUGUGCCGCAGUAAACACAUUAAGUACUCCGCCUGGGAAGUACGAUCGCAAGAUUAAAACUCUAAAGUGAAUUG